rnacentral:rRNA from 1 species
UACCAGCACCCCGAGUGGUCGGGACGUUUUAUUGGGCCUAAAGCAUCCGUAGCCGGUUCUACAAGUCUUCCGUUAAAUCCAACUGCUUAACAGGUGGGCUGCGGAAGAUACUAUAGAGCUAGGAGGCGGGAGAGGCAAGCGGUACUCGAUGGGUAGGGGUAAAAUCCGUUGGAUCCAUUGAAGACCACCAGUGGCGAAGGCGGCUUGCCAGAACGCGCUCGACGGUGAGGGAUGAAAGCUGGGG